GGGGGGGGGGGGGGGGGGGUCUUUCUCAUGGGUACCCAUGUAUUUCCAUGGAAAUAUAACAUUUAUUUGGAAAGUAAUAAACAUAUAGAUAUUUUUAAAAGCAUUCAUGAUUUGCGUAAAUGUAAUAUACUACUAUUGCUUUGUUAAAAAUAUGAAAUGGUAUUACAUUUGGUAAAGAGCACAUUAUGACUUGUUUAGGACUCGAGACCUGACUCGGACUUGCCUGUCUCGACUUGGGACUUGACUUGGGACUUACUUGUGACUUGUAAAACAAUGACAUGGUCCCAAUAUUGUGCCAGUGUAAGGUUGUAUGCUUUUUCUGGAGGUAUACAAUCUUUAAUGUGCGUCUUACUGUCGUUGAGAUUCAGGCCAUUGUAGUGUUUACUAUUUGUUGACUAAAUGAGUGGAUUGUAUGACAAGGUUCAGUAUGGCUCCAAUUGUGAUGUUUAUCUAACUAUCUGGCUUUACAAAACUGGAACAACAAGACUACACUAGAUCAGACCCACAGGCCCACAUGAUACACAGUGAGGGAGUGGUGUGUACCACUGGUCUGGACAGCAGUUAGUUUGUUGGUGCAAUAUUCACUCUCCCAGAGAUUGAGCUUUGAUUGGUUCUCACAUGCGAGAUAUUUGCAUGCAAAAUGCUCCUCACUUCCUAAUCAGUUUGCCUCGCCCCAACUAGAGAUAGACAAACAGGUAGCUAGUUCAUGAUUCUUUCAUUUUGAAAAGGGGAUACCAAUGUAGCAUGCCACUUUGAAGUCGCAGCCCCUUCAUUUUCAAUGCAACUUGCCGACAACAUCAAAGAGCCUUCCCAGACUCUAGAGUAAAACAGAUGUGUAUCUUAUGCCAGACUAACACUAAAAGCCAUUCCACAAUAAUCUCUCAGAUUAACUGUAGAUGUAAAUAGUAUGAAGCGUACGAUACCUCUGAAAAACUAAACUCAUCAAGAGUGUUAAGACAGGAAACAUUUAGUCUGUUAUUUCCUUGUAUUUAAUAGGAUUCUACUGUGUGUGUGUGUGUGUGUGUGUGUGUGUGUGUGUGUGUGUGUGUGUGUGUGUGUGUGUGUGUGUGUGUGUGUGUGUGUGUGUGUGUGUAUUAUGUACAGUACCUAUUAUCAUAUUUAUAAUAGUAUCCGUAGUAUUGUAACGUUCGUUCUCCUCCUCGUCUGAGGAGGAGCAAGGAUCGGACCAAUAUUGUCACGUUCCUGACCUGUUUUCUGUUGUUUUUGUAUGUGUUUAGUUGGUCAGGGCGUAAGUUGGGGUGGGCAUUCUAUGUUAUGUGUUUCUAUGUUAUGUUAAGUGUGUUGCCUGAUAUGGUUCUCAAAUAGAGGCAGGUGUUUGACGUUUCCUCUGAUUGAGAACCAUAUUAAGGUAGGCUGUUCUCACUGUUUGUUUGUGGGUGAUUGUUCCUGUGUCUGUUUGCACCACAUGGGACUGUCCUUCUCUCCUGUCGUCUUUUUGCAAGGAAGGCUUCCGUGUCCUGCCAAGAUUUCCUCCCAAGUCCAGGAUAUAUUCUCCUCGAUCUCCUCCCAAGCCCAGGAUGCAAUCUCCUCCUGCUGCUUGGUCCUGGUGUGGUGGGAUCUUCUGUCACGAUCGUCGGUGUAAUCAUACUCAGACCAAAGCGCAGCGUGGAAUUGGGUUCGACAUAUUUUAAUGAUAGGUGAACCGCACAACAAAACAAUAAAGAAUAUACGAUACGUGAAGCUCAAGCAGUGCUCACAGGCAACUGCACAGAAACAAGAUCCCACAAAAACACAGUGGGGAAAAUGGCUGCCUAAAUAUGAUCCCCAAUCAGAGUCAACGAUAAACAGCUGCCUCUGAUUGGGAACCAUACCAGGGGCCUGUUGCACAAAAGUAGAAUUAAGACAUCCGGGAUAAAUGACUCAGCUGAGCUCAAUGAAGCCAAAACAUGUGCGUCCAGGCUUAAUUGGUUGCACAAAGACCAAGCCAGGAUGAGCAGACACGGAUUCAUUAAGCCAGGUGAAACCAAUCCUGGAUAGGUGCGCGCUCACGGCUCACUCAAAUAGACCCCGCCACAGAUCACAGAUUAACUGAUUUACCAUGGCAACUAGAGCCGCGUACUUUUCCCCGUCGGAAGCACAAAUCCUCAUGGAGGCAUACGAGGAGGUAAAAGAUAUAAUUAAGAAGAAAGGCAACACCGCCACAGUGAUAAAGCAAAGAGAAAAAGCGUGGCAAAGUAUUGCAGAACGCCUGAAUGCGUAAGUAGUGCACAAUUACACAGUCACCGCUCCGCUGAAACAUCACAAUUACAAUUCAAAUAUUUAAUUCACAUCUCCAAAAAUGCAGUUGUACUGUAAUUAUGAAACGGUUAAAUUUUUUAUUGAAAUGCACUGCAGAUAUGAGUGAAAUUGUGUAAAGUAACUCCAUCACACUGUAUAAAGCUAUGAUAAAUUUUUUGAUAUUUUUACUGAAAACAAGACAAAAAUACCAAGUAAUUUUUUGCAGUGUGACUCCAUUAAAUGUGUGUGUGUGUGUGUGUGUGUGUAGAUUAAACAUGAACGGGCCAAAACGGACAUGGCAGCAGGUCAAAAUCAAAUACAAGAACAUUCUGCAGAAUGCAGUGAAAAAGAAUACCCACAGACAAGGCACGGGUGGUGGGUCACCAAAGGCUGACCUUACCCCAGCAGAGGACAUGGCCUUGGAGCUAAAUAAAGGCAGGCCCGUCUUAGAGGGGAUCCCUGGGGGGAAAGAGACGAGCAUAGGUUCCUCCCAAGAUGCCACCCGCUUCAUUCAAGGUAUGUCCUUCCAUCUCUACAUGGGAUACAACCACAUUCAUAUUGAAUCAAUUUGGACUGUCUGACUUUGAUUUACCUAUUGCCUUGCAGUGUCUGGCAGCACUGUGUUCCUGUUAGAGCCACCAGCACAAGCACCAGACGAUGCUGAUCCAGUGAGUACUCCAUCAAAGGCAUACUGUAGGCCUGGCAUGUCUUGUCUACUAGCUUCAAUAUGAAUCCGAUUAAAUGUGAUAGGGUGAAGGCCCCAGUGCAGCAGCAACAGCACAUGAUGGAGACGAUGAUGAGGAGGAGACCAUCUCUCUGGAUUCCAGAAGGCAUGAGGACCCAGAUGCUAUACAGUGGGAAAAACAGCCUGGCAACAUAGUGCGUAUUAAUAAAAUGACACCACAUCCUGCCAAAUUCCAGCUGCGCUAAUUGUAUUGUGUUCACAGAGCUCACAAGCUAUCAGAAAGUUGUAUGGCAACCACCUCCGGCACCAAAUAGAACUGGCAGACAUAGACAUUCAGUACAAGAAGAAAAAGAUGGAAAAUCUUGCACUGGAGUCCGAAAUAAAAAAGAGGACAAUUAGGAAACUGGACCUUGAAAUAAAAAAACUUGAGAGGGAGCUCCAAGAAGAUGACACAGCUCAAAAUAAAAAUUAGGUAUAUUCUCGUAAAGUCAAGUGAGCCAUGACAUAUGAGCUCUUAUUGUGAGCACACAGGACGGUGGCAUCUUUCUAAGUUUUUUUUUAUUUUCCCAGCAAUCAGUACAACCAAGUCAUCGUUAUAAGGCAUCGCCCUCUUUUGCCCACCCCCCCAGCACCAGGUGUGGCCACUAGCCUAUAUGAAGGCCCAAAAUUGUGUGUUCCUUUCUGCUCUGACAAUGGCAUGCCCAUUCGUGCGAGAUGUGGUGGAUGAAGAAGCACUUGUGCUGAGGAGAGCCUUAAGGCGAGAAAGGGUCUUCAGGGACCGGUUGGACCCACUGGCCUUCCCUGAUGACCAUCUAUAUGAAAGAUACAGGUUUUCUGCAGAUGGCAUCAGGUAUCUAUGCAGACUACUGGGUCCCAGGAUUAAGCACCGCACUGCACGGAGCCAUGCACUGAGUGUGGAGCAAAUGGUUUGUGUGGCCUUGCGCUUUUUUGCUAGUGGAGCCUUCCUGUACUCAGUGGGGGAUGCAGAACAGCUGAACAAGGCCACAAUUUGCCGCACAAUAAGGAGUGUGUGUCUGGCUAUCAAAGCAUUAGCAGAUGUCUUCAUAUCCUUCCCUGGCCACAGAAGACUCUGUGACAUCAAAGAGGAGUUCUAUAGGAUUGCAGAUGGUCUGCAAUGCUGACUGUGUGAUCAGCAAUGUUGUGGCAAAAUGGCCUGGCUCAGUCCAUGACUCCAGAAUCUUUCGGGCCUCUGAAAUCUAUCAGUGCCUAUCACAAGGUGAAUUCUCUGGUGUGUUGCUGGGAGACAGGGGGUAUGGCUGCCAGCCUUUUCUCCUGACACCUUUCACAGACCCCCAGGAAGCACAGCAGGCCUACAACCAUGCCCAUGCCAGGACCAGGGCCAGAGUUGAAAUGACCUUUGGCCUCCUGAAGGCACGCUUUCACUGCCUUCACAAAUUAAGGGUCAGCCCUGUUAGGGCAUGUGAUAUUACUGUGGCUUGUGCUGUCCUCCACAAUGUGGCCUGCCUGAGGAAGGAGAGGGCCCCCAGAGUGCCACCAGCCAUGGACUGGGACAAUCCGGCAAUCUUCCCUGAUGACGACAGUGGUCGGCUGCUGAGGGACCAAUAUGUGUUGAAUUAUUUUAGUUAGUAUGUGUGCUUUCAAUUUUGGUUAAAUAUGUCCUGCGGUGGCAGAGGAAUUUGGUUUUUUUUGGGUUUGUUUUUUUACGAAUUUGGUCUCUUAUGAUGUUUGUGCGGUAUACUGUGUGUAAUACAAGGCUGCAGGGAGGCUACUGCAUCCAUUCAUUUGUCUGUUCAGUUGUGUAUGGAUUUGUCCUGCAUUUAUUUUAGUGUGCAGACAUGCAGGGUGUGUUAUAUACAGACCUUUGAAUGUGUAUGUAUCAUUUUGUAUAAUAUGCUUGGAUUCUGUGCUUUCCAUCUUGUAGAGUCACUGUGACUUCAGUUUCGAAAGGAGCUGACGGUUUACCUGCUUUGUUUUGUCCUUAUUCAAUAAAGGAACAUAAUGUUACACAUUGUGUUUUUAUAUUCA